GUCUUGUCGGGGUUGGUGGGAGAAUGCUUGGAGAGGUCUAUAUUUCUUCCUGGGAGGUUUUGCUUUGGAGACCAUUUUCUUCCUCAAGGAUUCUUCUCCAUCCUCCCGACCACUUAACCCUUUUCGUUGGGAUUCUCGGUACCGGCGGCAGCUAGGAGAAGGGAGUUCCUGGUUUUGGGUUCUCCACCGAGUUUCCAGGAGAAGAUCAAGUCUAGGAUCAGGGGGGUGUCUGGGAGUCAUAUUGUCUGCUUUUAUCAGUAUCUCUGUACUACCCUUUUGUGAGUGUAAGGCUUGUAUUAUGACUGUAUUUGUGUUUUGCAAACUGUUGGGUGGUAUUUGUAUUCUGUAGGGCUGCUAAAGCCCGUACUUGUUGUAUUUCAGUUACCAGUAUCUUAUUCUUGCUUCUGUAUUACUGUUCA